GUCUACGGCCAUACUACCCUGAAUGUGCCCAAUCCCAACUUGAUCUCGGAAGCUAAGCAGGGUCGGGCCUGGUAGAACCUUGGAUGGGAGAUCGCCUGGUAAUACCUGGUGCUGUAGGCA
rnacentral:rRNA from 1 species